GCUGUGAAGGACACAAGUCCAUCAUCUCAGACUGUUUCAGCAGAGACCAAAGAAGUGGUGGAGCAGGAGGAGAGUACAACUAAAACAGAGAUGAAGUGUGAUCCACUGAGUGGUGCUAAACAAUCAGACAAGGACGAUGACAGCACAAGAGUGGGAGGAGAAUCUGAAAUCACU